CCCUCCGUGACCCAACCCACCUCUCCGCCACCCUCCCCCUCUCAAUCUGACCCACCCUCUGUACCAAGCUCCCCCUUCCAGCCUCCUUCCUCCAUCCAGCCUCCUACCCCCAUCCAGCAUCCUUCCCCGAUCCAGCCUCCUUCCCCCAUCCAGCCUCCUACCCCCAUCCAGCCUCCUUCCCCCAUCCAGCCGCCAUCCCCCAUCCAGCCGCCAUCCCCACCUUCCGAAUGGGCAGCAGGGGCCCCGGAGGCACUUCUGGGAGGAGAACAAGUGCCACGGGACAAUGUUGCAGUUGGAGAUCCCACUACUUUUAGGGGCAUUCUUGCCACCAUGCGAGAACACCUGCAGGGAUUGCUGAGGAGUGUGGAGCAGCUGGAGAAGUUUGCCUAAUUUUUUAUUUUAAACAUUUUAUUGUUGUUAAAAAAAAAAAAAACACAAAUAAAAAAAUAUAUUUUCAACUUAA